rnacentral:rRNA from 1 species
AUGAACGCUGGCGGCGUGCCUAAUACAUGCAAGUCGAGCGAACGGACGAGAAGCUUGCUUCUCUGAUGUUAGCGGCGGACGGGUGAGUAACACGUGGAUAACCUACCUAUAAGACUGGGAUAACUUCGGGAAACCGGAGCUAGUACCGGAUAAUAUUUUGAACCGCAUGGUUCAAAAGUGAAAGACGGUCUUGCUGUCACUUAUAGAUGGAUCCGCGCUGCAUUAGCUAGUUGGUAAGGUAACGGCUUACCAAGGCAACGAUGCAUAGCCGACCUGAGAGGGUGAUCGGCCACACUGGAACUGAGACACGGUCCAGACUCCUACGGGAGGCAGCAGUAGGGAAUCUUCCGCAAUAGGCGAAAGCCUGACGGAGCAACGCCGCGUGAGUGAUGAAGGUCUUCGGAUCGUAAAACUCUGUUAUUAGGGAAGAACAUAUGUGUAAGUAACUGUGCACAUCUUGACGGUACCUAAUCAGAAAGCCACGGCUAACUACGUG